CAUCCUACGGGAGGCAGCAGUGGGGAAUAUUGGACAAUGGGCGCAAGCCUGAUCCAGCCAUGCCGCGUGAGUGAUGAAGGCCCUAGGGUUGUAAAGCUCUUUCACCGGUGAAGAUAAUGACGGUAACCGGAGAAGAAGCCCCGGCUAACUUCGUGCCAGCAGCCGCGGUAAUACGAAGGGGGCUAGCGUUGUUCGGAUUUACUGGGCGUAAAGCGCACGUAGGCGGACUAUUAAGUCAGGGGUGAAAUCCCGGGGCUCAACCCCGGAACUGCCUUUGAUACUGGUAGUCUUGAGUUCGAGAGAGGUGAGUGGAAUUCCGAGUGUAGAGGUGAAAUUCGUAGAUAUUCGGAGGAACACCAGUGGCGAAGGCGGCUCACUGGCUCGAUACUGACGCUGAGGUGCGAAAGCGUGGGGAGCAAACAGGAUUAGAUACCCCUGUAGUCCCAUG
rnacentral:rRNA from 1 species